UACGUAGGGGGCAAGCGUUGUCCGGAAUCAUUGGGCGUAAAGAGCGUGUAGGCGGCCAGAAAAGUCCGCUGUGAAAACUCGAGGCUCAACUUCGAGCUGUCGGUGGAAACUUUCUGGCUAGAGUCCGGAAGAGGAGACUGGAAUUCCUGGUGUAGCGGUGAAAUGCGCAGAUAUCAGGAGGAACACCGGUGGCGAAGGCGGGUCUCUGGGCAACAACUGACGCUGAGGAGCGAAAGCGUGGGGAGCGAACAGGA
rnacentral:rRNA from 1 species